CAUGAAAACAUAAAGUAGUCAUCAUGUAAAGUAGCCAGCAAACUCCCUCUGUCACUGCUUAAUGUUCUGUUUUCACACUGGGAGAAUUUAAGUCUGUACCCUCAGUAUAACGGUGUAUUUAGGUCUUAUUUGCAUUCUUAAUGAUCCUAAAAAGGUCUUUGUUCAACUUGAACUCCUUGAAACCUGCAGAAACCCGAGAUAAUCCGACCCCAAGCAGUUCUGGACCAUUAUAGAACCAGUUUCUUGAUCAAGAACAAGUUCUUUGGUUGUUGAAACAUGAAGAACUGGUUUCACAUUAGAACUAUUCUCUUGUAAAAGUGUUAAAGUCUCCUCAGUUCCCGUUGACCUGGCUCUAACGUCCAGUUGACUUCAAAGGUGCAGGAUGGGGUCAGAGGUCAUGGGGCUGUAGACCACUUUAGCUUUUCAGCACCAAAGUGUUUUGGAAAAUUUCUGAUGGAUCAUUUGAUUUUAUUAAAGGAAAUCCAGAUCAGAAAAAACUGAACCACAGAUGAAAACAGUGGUCUAAUAGGGAUGUCCGCAUACUUUUGGAUGUGUGUUGGACAACAGUAAAGGAGGACAUAUUUGUUCCACUGCCCCUUUAGAGGAAAAUGUCCGUUUUACUCUGCUGACACGAGGGCUAAAUCUUUACACAUAAAAUAUAAUUUCAUUUCCACAUAGUUUCUCUUCUGUCAUCUAGAGUCAGAUUUUAAUUUAAAUCAGCUCUUUAUCACUGAGAUGUUUGUCUUUCAUCGCUCACUAUUAGCAGGACAUGGCUUUAUUACAUCUUGCUGAAUUUUGCAGUUAAUUGUAAGUGAAUUACAGUAAGUGGUGUUGGCCUGGCUCUGUGAGUCACAUGUGUCGGCCCGUGACGACCCAUGACUUCCCUCAUUAUUCUGCGAACUCCUGUUGCAUCAGAGCAUGAUCUGUGAUAAUUAAUUUGGCUCUGUUUUUAUUACAGACACAUUGAUCGCUUCAAAUUAAAAAAGGUGAAAACACAGCUGCACAAUACUAUAUGGACAGCACUGUGAUAAGGCAGAAUAGCAAUCUUAGUGUGAUACAACCUGCAAGUACAAGUACUGUACUUCAGCAUGAAUUUAAGGCACUUGUACAUCGAUUAUUUCCAUUUCCUGCAGCUUUGUAACUUCUCACUCCAUUUGUCUACAGCUAUAGUUACUUUUCAGCUGAAUAUUUGUCACAGCUGAUAAAAUCCAACACAUAAUUACAGAUUGAACCAGUGGUUUCUGACUUUUUGGUCCUGAUUUCUUUAAAAAGGAGUGUGUAGUUGGCUCACAUUUCAGAUGAGUUGUUGACAGCUCAGCCAAGAAAUGAUUUGUGCAUCUAAACUUCUCCCAUAGCUCUUCUCAUUUUUGUCUGUUUUUUGUCUGUCUGUGCAUUUUAAGCUUUUAUUACACAUCGGUAAAUAACCAUGUGGGUUGAGGGGAUGUUAACGAUAAUAAAUGGAAACACACACUGGGAACAAGACUCUAAUCAGGUUGUUAAGUCUGACAUGGUGCAGUAAAACUCACUUCCAGGUCCAAAUAGUUAACAACAGUACGGCCUGUAUACCCAUUUACAAUCACUUCUGUCUUUACUGAGGCACCGGUUAAAUUAAGAAGGUGCUAAAUUUAUUUAUUAACUCUGGUCAGUUUGCAUAGGAAAUUUUACCUGUAGUAAACUGGGAUUUUAAAUGUUUUAAAUACUGUUUAAGCAGUGGAUGAUUUCACUUUGUGCUCAGAUGUGUGUUGACAGAGGUCGUUUCUUCCCCUGAGAUGAACAGCACAAAUACAGGGCUGACAAACAGAACAUGAAGUGACAAGAUAUAAAAUGCCUCAUAGAACUUUGUAACUUUUCUUAUCAGCUUCAUCCACUUCCAGCUCUUUAUCAGCACAUGUAAAGUGGUAGAAUGACAGUUGGAUGUGUUUUAUGGACUCAAGGACACUUUGGGCAACUACAGAAUCACAGACAAAUUCAAGCCAAAAAAAAAUUGUCCCCCCGCAACCCCAGACUAUGCAGCAGAACUAUGGACUUAAUCUAAGUCUUCGUAACUGAUGGUAUCUGCCUCCUGGAGCCAAACUGAUUCCACAGGAGAGCAGCUUGGAAAGUCCAGCCUCCCAGUCUAGUUUUAGGAACUCUGGGGACUAGAAGUAAACCUGCACUCUGAUGGAAAAGUGUUCUUGGGUUAUAAAGUAUAAUUAGGUCUUUGAUAAAGAAUGGCGCAGUUGUUAAAAGUCUUAUAUGUUAGGGGAAGGAUGAUAAAUUCAGAUCUAGAUUUUGGAAGCCAGUGAAGAGAAGAUAGUCAUUACAAUAAUUAUUUCCAAAGCUGUAAACUCGAGAUACUGCAAUUUUUUUUUUACUUGCAGAAGUGUUGUAAAUAUUUAUCAUAUGUUAUUUCUGUAAAUGUUUACACAUUUACUGGUUAUAACUGUUUAUAAUAUACAUCUGAGGGUUCAAUAUUUCCUUAAAGUUUAAUGGGAGAUGUGGAGAAAGUAGAUGUUAGUCGUGGUAGAAAAUUGUUAUUUACAGAUCACCAAAAAUAUUUGAGAAAUUAAGAGGUAUAACUGUUAAAAUCAUAGAAUAAUCAUAGAUUAAAAAAAAAAAAAAAAAAAAAAGUCUCAAUCUCUGAGGCAUUUUGGAAU